rnacentral:rRNA from 1 species
UGUAGCUUGCUACAGAUGGCGACCGGCGCACGGGUGAGUAACGCGUAUGCAACCUGCCUUUUACAGGGGGAUAGCCGAGAGAAAUUUGGAUUAAUACCCCAUAGUAUCAAUUUACCGCAUGGUAAUUUGAUUAAAGAUUUAUCGGUAAAAGAUGGGCAUGCGUGGCAUUAGCUUGUUGGUAAGGUAACGGCUUACCAAGGCGACGAUGCCUAGGGGUUCUGAGAGGAUGACCCCCCACACUGGUACUGAGACACGGACCAGACUCCUACGGGAGGCAGCAGUGAGGAAUAUUGGUCAAUGGGCGAGAGCCUGAACCAGCCAUCCCGCGUGAAGGAAGACUGCCCUAUGGGUUGUAAACUUCUUUUCUGCACCAAGAACGUGCCCUACGUGUAGGGCAGUGACGGUAGUGCAGGAAUAAGCAUCGGCUAACUCCGUGCCAGCAGCCGCGGUAAUACGGAGGAUGCGAGCGUUAUCCGGAUUCAUUGGGUUUAAAGGGUGCGUAAGGCGGCUUCUUAAGUCAGUGGUGAAAUCCUGCGGCUCAACCGUAGAACUGCCAUUGAAAACUGGGGGGCUUGAAUACCGAUGAAGUAGGCGGAAUGAGUAGUGUAGCGGUGAAAUGCAUAGAUAUUACUCAGAACACCGAUUGCGUAAGGCAGCUUUACUAAACUGAUAUUGACGCUGAGGCACGAAAGCG